GGGACGAUGGAUCCGUGCAGGUUUUAUUGCGAGAUAAUGGACACACAGAACAAGAGUAAUGUUGUACCAAUAUUUGCUCCAGGAAGGGACACCAUGCAACAAGAAUCACCCAGAAAUGAAAUGCAUGAGGGGAACUUGUUGGUGGCCAACAAAAUAAAUAAACAAUUUAAUAUA